rnacentral:rRNA from 1 species
UAUGUGAUCGUCUCUCGCAUAUCAAUAAGCGGAGGAAAAGAAACUAACAAGGAUUCCCCUAGUAACGGCGAGUGAAGCGGGAAGAGCUCAAAUUUGAAAUCUUAAAGGGUUUCCCUUUACGAAUUGUAGUUUAAAGAAGUGUUUUCUGUUGAGGUUUUGGUAAAAGUUCUUUGGAAUAGGACAUCAUAGAGGGUGAGAAUCCCGUAUUUGACCUUUACUUUCAACUUUGUGAUACACUUUCAAAGAGUCGGAUUGUUUGGGAAUGCAGUCCAAAAUGGGUGGUAAAUUUCAUCUAAAGCUAAAUAUUGGCGAGAGACCGAUAGCGAACAAGUACCGUGAGGGAAAGAUGAAAAGAACUUUGAAAAGAGAGUUAAACAGUACGUGAAAUUGUCAAAAGGGAAGCGUUUGACACCAGUGUUGUUUUUCUGAAAAUCAAUUAAAGAACUGUUUAUGCUAAGCUGUUUAGACUUUAUCAGCUAUCUGUUUAGUUUUGAGCUUUUCUUUAAUGCACUUUUCAGUUAACAAGUCAACAUCAAUUUCUUUUGCUGUAUAAAGAGCUUGAGGAAGGUGGCUUGAGAUUCGUCUUAAGUGUUUAUAGCCUCUUGCCUAUGCAGUCGGAGAGAUUGAGGUCUGCAGCGUAGAUCCUUCGGGGCUAAAUGCAUUUGUGCUAAGUUAUAGCAUUUUAUAGACAACUUGUUGACUAUGAUUUGUCUUGUAGCUUACUCGCUUAUGUUAUUUUACCUACGCUUAGGAUGUUGAGUCGUAGAGCACGCAG